rnacentral:lncRNA from 1 species
UUCUGUGUGUUAGUAUUUUUACAUAUUUUUCAUUUCAUAUAAUUUUUGGAUCCAUUGUCUCAGAUAACUGGAUUUAUGAUUUCGCUAGAUAAAUUCUAUUCAUAAAACUUUAAACAAGGAGUAUUUCUUAAACCGUUAGCUUCACAUUUCAACAGUUUAACUGAAAUUUAGCCCACGCAAGAGGAACUGAGUGGGAUAUCGUAGAAUAGAGAAACUAUGGGUGAUACAGAUCAUGACAUUAUUUUUGAAUUCUGCAUGCAAAAGCAUAUGAAAUACAGUGCCCACGCACAUUGUUUUGAAGCCACCCUAAGUAUCAAAGUCUGGAGACGGACCCAAAUACAGAACCAGAGUACUGACCCUGAAAUUUAUAAAUUUUCUUGCCACAGAGACAAGACUGUGUUUUCUACAACAGAGGUUAUAGGAAAAAAUAAAAGAGAAAGAGAGAAAGAAACAAAUAACGAAUGAAAGAAAGAA